UACGUAGGGUGCGAGCGUUGUCCGGAAUUAUUGGGCGUAAAGAGCUCGUAGGCGGUUUGUUGCGUCUAUCGUGAAAACCUGCAGCUUAACUGUGGGCUUGCGGUGGAUACGGGCAGACUUGAGUUCGGUAGGGGAGACUGGAAUUCCUGGUGUAGCGGUGAAAUGCGCAGAUAUCAGGAGGAACACCGAUGGCGAAGGCAGGUCUCUGGGCCACUACUGACGCUGAGAAGCGAAAGCAUGGGGAGCGAACAGG
rnacentral:rRNA from 1 species